rnacentral:rRNA from 1 species
CCUACGGGAUGCAGCAGUGAGGAAUAUUGGUCAAUGGACGCAAGUCUGAACCAGCCAUGCCGCGUGCAGGAAGACGGCUCUAUGAGUUGUAAACUGCUUUUGUACGAGGGUAAACGCUGAUACGCGUCUCUGUCUGAAAGUAUCGUACGAAUAAGGAUCGGCUAACUCCGUGCCAGCAGCCGCGGUAAUACGGAGGGUUCAAGCGUUAUCCGGAUUUAUUGGGUUUAAAGGGUGCGUAGGCGGUCGGUUAAGUUAGAGGUGAAAUCCCGAGGCUCAACUUCGGAAUUGCCUUUGAUACUGUUCGGCUAGAGAGUAGGUGCGGUAGGCGGAAUGUAUGGUGUAGCGGUGAAAUGCUUAGAGAUCAUACAGAACACCGAUUGCGAAGGCAGCUUACCAGGCUACUACUGACGUUGAGGCACGAAAGCGUGGGGAGCGAACAGGAUUAGAUACCCGUGUAGUC